GGAGCAAGAACUGAGAUUUCAAGGACUUGUCUUCCCAGAAUGCAUAGCAACAGAUAGAUGUGGGAUCUGAAGAGGCAGGUCAGAUGGAGGUCCAAGUGUCUGUCACUCAUAUUUUACCCUUCAAGACGAAUGAACUGCUGUGAACCGCUUAAAGAACAAGGUUGCCAAUCGGGAUCCUACAUUUCCCACAAUGCCUUUUGCUGGUUGAAGUUUAAAAUGAUCCAACUCUCUAAAAGUUCAUCUUGUUCUCAUAAAAACUGUGACGUGCACACAAAACUUAAAAUGCAUUGGUUGUGCUUAUAAAUAUUAAAUCUUUAUGGUUUUGUUCACACUUAAGCUGCCAUGUUAAAAGAAAUCAUGCUGACGCUCUUUCAUCAAGUCCUCAGAGCAAAAUUAAAAACUUAAGA